rnacentral:rRNA from 1 species
GAUGAACGCUGGCGGCGUGCCUAACACAUGCAAGUCGAGCGAUUCUCUUCGGAGAAGAGCGGCGGACGGGUGAGUAACGCGUGGGUAACCUGCCCUGUACACACGGAUAACAUACCGAAAGGUAUGCUAAUACGGGAUAAUAUGCUUUAGUCGCAUGGCUGAAGUAUCAAAGCUCCGGCGGUACAGGAUGGACCCGCGUCUGAUUAGCUAGUUGGUAAGGUAACGGCUCACCAAGGCGACGAGCAGUAGCCGACCUGAGAGGGUGAUCGGCCACAUUGGAACUGAGACACGGUCCAAACUCCUACGGGAGGCAGCAGUGGGGAAUAUUGCACAAUGGGCGAAAGCCUGAUGCAGCAACGCCGCGUGAGCGAUGAAGGCCUUCGGGUCGUAAAGCUCUGUCCUCAAGGAAGAUAAUGACGGUACUUGAGGAGGAAGCCCCGGCUAACUACGUGCCAGCCGCCGCAGUAA